CCUACGGGGGGCUGCAGUUUCGAAUCAUUCACAAUGGGCGAAAGCCUGAUGGUGCGACGCCGCGUGAGGGAUGAAGGUCUUCGGAUUGUAAACCUCUGUCACUGGGGAGAAAACGCUUUGAGUUAAUAGUUCAAAGCCUGAUUUAACCCGGAGAGGAAGCAGUGGCUAACUCUGUGCCAGCAGCCGCGGUAAUACAGAGACUGCAAGCGUUAUCCGGAUUCACUGGGCGUAAGUUGGGUGUAGCAGGUGGGGAAUCCCGAGGCUUAACCUCGGAACUGCGUCUGAAACUACUCGACUAGAGUACUGGAGAGGGAAACGGAAUUCACGGUGUAGCAGUGAAAUGCGUAGAUAUCGUGAGGAACACCAGAGGCGAAGGCGGUUUCCUGGACAGUUACUGACGCUCAGGCACGAAAGCAUGGGGAGCAAAAGGGAUUAGAUACCCUAGUAGUC
rnacentral:rRNA from 1 species